rnacentral:rRNA from 1 species
CGUCUAUAUACGUAUAGCAUAUCAAUAAGCGGAGGAAAAGAAACUAACAAGGAUUCCCCUAGUAACGGCGAGUGAAGCGGGAAGAGCUCAAAUUUGAAAUCUUAAAGGGUUUCCCUUUACGAAUUGUAGUUUAAAGAAGUGUUUUCUGUUGGAGUUUCGGUAAAAGUUCUUUGGAACUAGGACAUCAUAGAGGGUGAGAAUCCCGUAUUUGACCGUUACUUUCCAGCUGUGUGAUACACUUUCAAAGAGUCGGAUUGUUUGGGAAUGCAGUCCAAAAUGGGUGGUAAAUUUCAUCUAAAGCUAAAUAUUGGCGAGAGACCGAUAGCGAACAAGUACCGUGAGGGAAAGAUGAAAAGAACUUUGAAAAGAGAGUUAAACAGUACGUGAAAUUGUCAAAAGGGAAGCGUUUGACACCAGUGUUGUUUAGUUGAAAAUCAAUUCAAUAAUUUUUGAUUUUAAGUAGUAUUGACUUCAUCAGCUUGCUGCUUUCUUUUCAGGAAUUAUUGAAUGCACUUUUCAGUUAACAAGUCAACAUCAAUUUCUUUUGUUGUAAAAGGGUAAGAGGAAGGUGGCUUACGUUUUCUGGCGUAAUGUGUUUAUAGCCUUUUACCUCUGCAAUCGGAGAGAUUGAGGCCAGCAGCGUAGACUCCUUCUGGGGUUAGAUACACUUGUGCUAAGCUAUAGCCUUGUAUAGACAACUUGUUGACUAUGCUCAGUCAUGUAGCUUACUCGCUUGUGCUAUUUUACCUACGCUUAGGAUGUUGAUAUGCAUGACUGAUAU